GACGAACGCUGGCGGCGUGCUUAACACAUGCAAGUCGAACGGAAAGGCCCUGCUUUUGUGGGGUGCUCGAGUGGCGAACGGGUGAGUAACACGUGAGUAACCUGCCCUUGACUUUGGGAUAACUUCAGGAAACUGGGGCUAAUACCGGAUAGGAGCUCCUGCUGCAUGGUGGGGGUUGGAAAGUUUCGGCGGUUGGGGAUGGACUCGCGGCUCAUCAGCUUGUUGGUGGGGUAGUGGCUUACCAAGGCUUUGACGGGUAGCCGGCCUGGGAGGGUGACCGGCCACAUUGGGACUAAGAUACGGACCAGACUCCUACGGGAGGCAGCGGUGGAAAAUAUUGCACAAUGGGCGGAAGCCUGAUGCAGCAGCGCCGCGUGCGGGAUAACGGCCAUCGAGUUAUAAACCGAUUUCGCAUGUAACGAAGCGGGAGUGACGGUAAUGGGUAAAGAAGCACCGGCUAACUACGUG
rnacentral:rRNA from 1 species